rnacentral:rRNA from 1 species
AGUGAACGCUGGCGGUAGGCCUAACACAUGCAAGUCGAACGGCAGCACAGUAAGAGCUUGCUCUUACGGGUGGCGAGUGGCGGACGGGUGAGGAAUACAUCGGAAUCUACUUUUUCGUGGGGGAUAAUGUAGGGAAACUUACGCUAAUACCGCAUACGACCUACGGGUGAAAGCAGGGGAUCUUCGGACCUUGCGCGAUUGAAUGAGCCGAUGUCGGAUUAGCUAGUUGGCGGGGUAAAGGCCCACCAAGGCGACGAUCCGUAGCUGGUCUGAGAGGAUGAUCAGCCACACUGGAACUGAGACACGGUCCAGACUCCUACGGGAGGCGGCAGUGGGGAAUAUUGGACAAUGGGCGCAAGCCUGAUCCAGCCAUACCGCGUGGGUGAAGAAGGCCUUCGGGUUGUAAAGCCCUUUUGUUGGGAAAGAAAAGCAGCGGGUUAAUACCCCGCUGUUCUGACGGUACCCAAAGAAUAAGCACCGGCUAACUUCGUG